AUUGAACGCUGGCGGAAGGCCUAACACAUGCAAGUCGAACGAGUGGCGGACGGGUGAGUAAUAUCUGGGAAACUGCAUGAUGGAGGGGGAUAACUAAUGGAAACGGUAGCUCAUACCGCAUACCAUCAGAUGUGCCCAGAGGGGAUUAGGGAGUUGGUGGGGUAACGGCUCACAAAGGCGACGCUCCCUAGCUGGUCUGAGAGGAUGACCAGCCACACUGGAACUGAGACACGGUCCAUGCUCCUACGGGAGGCAGCAGUGGGGAAUAGUGCGCAAGGGGCGCAAGUCUGAUCCAGCCAUGCCGCUUGUAUGAAGAAGGCCUUCGGGUUGUAAAGUACUUUCAGCGGGGAGGCGUUACCCGCAGAAGAAGCACCGGCUAACUCCGUGCCAGCAGCCGCGGUAAUAC
rnacentral:rRNA from 1 species